CUAGACGAGUUUGAUCCUGGCUCAGAACGAACGCUGGCGGCAGGCUUAACACAUGCAAGUCGAACGCCCCGCAAGGGGAGUGGCAGACGGGUGAGUAACACGUGGGAACAUGCCCAAAGGUACGGAAUAUUCUCGGGAAACUGGGAGCAAUACCGUAUGUGCCCGAAAGGGGAAGAUUUAUCGCCUUUGGAUUGGCCCGCGUUGGAUUAGCUAGUUGGUGGGGUAAAAGCCUACCAAGGCGACGAUCCAUAGCUGGUCUGAGAGGACGACCAGCCACACUGGGACUGAGACACGGCCCAGACUCCUACGGGAGGCAGCAGUGGGGAAUCUUGGACAAUGGGCGCAAGCCUGAUCCAGCCAUGCCGCGUGAGUGAUGAAGGCCCUAGGGUUGUAAAACUCUUUCGUGGGGGGACGAUAAUGACGGUACCCCAAGAAGAAGCUCCGGCUAACUUCGUG
rnacentral:rRNA from 1 species